rnacentral:rRNA from 1 species
UACGUAGGUGGCAAGCGUUGUCCGGAAUUAUUGGGCGUAAAGAGCGUGUAGGCGGCUUGGCAAGUCUGGUGUGAAAUCUUGCGGCUCAACCGCAAGCGGUCACUGGAAACUGCCUCGCUAGAGUCCGGAAGAGGAGAGCGGAAUUCCUGGUGUAGCGGUGGAAUGCGCAGAUAUCAGGAAGAACACCCGUGGCGAAGGCGGCUCUCUGGGACGGUACUGACGCUGAGACGCGAAAGCGUGGGGAGCGAACAGG